rnacentral:miRNA from 1 species
AUGGGCUGGGCUGUGUUGGG